GUGGGAGCAGCAGGAAUGUCCUGCAGUUUCUCAGAGGGCUGGAGAGCAGGCAGAUGACAUUCCAGGACAGGAGUGCCACCGUAGCCACCCCAGCCUCCGUGCACUCAGCACCUUCUCUUCCUGUUAAAUUUGGGGACACAUUUGUACAGGGAUGAGUUGAGCCUGAUCACUGACUGCCUGAAGACCAGAAAAGGACAACUGGGAGGCUUGGAGAUGCUGGAUCCUUCAGCCAGCAGUGAGCAUUCCUCAUUUCAAGGCAGGAAUCCCCCCCAUUGUGGGCAAGCUGCCUCCACUUCUUCCAACUCCUGGCAGGAAAUCCUUCCUGGGUCCCUCCUUCAGCUCCUGUCAAGUCCCGUUUGUGAGGACUGGUCAACCCCGAAGGUCUGUUUUUCCCUCCCCUGCUUGUGGCAGGCCUCUCCAAGAGGCAUAACCCUUUGGGGUGCCCUGAAGGAUCCCCUAGGCUUCCCCAAGCCUGCCAAGCGCCCAGUACUUGAAGAGAAGCCAGGCCUUUUAGCACUGCCAUCAGUUCCUUUGCAGUUAGAGCCACAGGAGUGGGCAGCUCAGCCUGUGUCUUUGCUGAACUAAGGGAAGCUCCACCGAGCCUGGAGAACAAGGUGGUUUCUGCCCAGUUGGUGGCGUCACCCUCCUUGAAGGCCCCUGCCUGGCCUGCAGCACUGAUGUCCAGGCUGUGAGUACAAAUGUGGCUUCCGUCUGUCUGAAACGUGGUCCCAUAGAAACUUUUUCACGUUUGGGGUCUGUGCUGAACUAGAUAUUUGUGGAAAGUCAUUUUGUAGACAGUAGGCCUCGCAGUUGUUCAAUUAUGUGCGUAUUAAAAUACAAUAAAAAUGUCUAACUUUUAC
rnacentral:lncRNA from 1 species